GAUGAACGCUGGCGGCGUGCCUAAUACAUGCAAGUCGAGCGAACAGACGAGGAGCUUGCUCCUCUGACGUUUGCGGCGGGCGGGUGAGUAACACGUGGAUAACCUACCUAUAAUACUUGGAUAACUUCGUGAAACCGCAGCUAAUACCGGAUCAUAUAUUGAACCGCAUGGUUCAAUAGUGAAACGCGCCUUUGCCGCCACUAUUAGAUGGAUCCGCGCCGCAUACGCUAGUUGGUAAGGUAACGGCUUACCAAGGCGACGAUGCGUAGCCGAUCUGAGCGGGUGAUCGGCCACACUGGAACUGAGACACGGUCCAGACUCCUACGGGAGGCAGCAGUAGGGAAUUUUGCGCAAUGGGCGAAAGCCUGACGGAGCAACGCCGCGUGAGUGAUGAAGGUCUUCGGAUCGUAAAACUCUGUUAUUAGGGAAGAACAAAUGUGUAAGUAACCAUGCACGUCUUGACGGUACCUAAUCAGAAAGCCACGGCUAACUACGUG
rnacentral:rRNA from 1 species